UACGAAGGGGGCUAGCGUUGCUCGGAAUCACUGGGCGUAAAGCGCACGUAGGCGGCUUUUAGUACAGGGGUGAAAUCCUGGAGCUCAACUCCAGAACUGCCUUUGAUACUGAGAGCUUGAGUCCGGGAGAGGUGAGUGGAACUGCGAGUGUAGAGGUGAAAUUCGUAGAUAUUCGCAAGAACACCAGUGGCGAAGGCGGCUCACUGGCCCGGUACUGACGCUGAGGUGCGAAAGCGUGGGGAGCAAACA
rnacentral:rRNA from 1 species